GUCGCGCGACUCCAACCACAGCUAGGUGGGCGCGACCCUAACUGAAAACACAAAUUUUCAUAUGUCAUUGGCUUCACCGCAAUUUUUUUUCCUUUUUUUUUAAUUCUCUCUCUCUCCUCUCCUCUCAGAUCUCUCAUUUUCUCUUUAUAACUCUCUCUCUAACCGUGAAUGGCAAGAGCACCGACUUCCACUGUCGUCUUCGUCUUAGUCGUCGUCUUAGUCAAUCAAACCAACCCAGAUCUCCGCAUCUAAAUUUAGAAGCUCCUAACCCUAACAUUUUCCCCAAAUUUCAACAGAUUCAGGUACAAAUUCAUCAAUUCAUUCCAAUUUCCUACUGAUUUCUGCUACCUCUGUCGUUGUCUUCGUCUCCGCCGUCGUCAUCUUCGUCUUCAUCGUCUUAGUCAAUCAAACCAACCCAGAUUUGUUGGAGAUUGCGGUGGCUGAACUUGUGACUGUAGGCGCGCGGCUGGGUGCACGAGAUGGUUGAUUGUUGUGGUGGUUGGAAUUGGUGGUUUAGUUAAGACUUAUUAAGUCGAUCAGGGUUACUAGGUCGGAGGGGUUACUUGGUCGAGGGAUUACUUGUGUAUUAGCUGGCCACACAAAAAACCUGUUGAGUUAAAAAUUUACCACUAUAUUAAAUUGGAUAUUCCA